rnacentral:rRNA from 1 species
CGGAUUGGAGCUGCAACUCGACUCCAUGAAGCUGGAUUCGCUAGUAAUCGCGCAUCAGCCAUGGCGCGGUGAAUACGUUCCCGGGCCUUGUACACACCGCCCGUCAAGCCAUGGGAGUUGGGAAUACCCGAAGCCUGUGAGCUAACUUAUAGAGGCAGCAGUCGAAGGUAGAAUCAAUGAUUGGGGUGAAGUCGUAACAAGGUACC